UACGUAGGGUGCGAGCGUUGUCCGGAAUUACUGGGCGUAAAGCGCGCGUAGGCGGCUUUUGUAAGUUAGGGGUGAAAGCCCGGAGCUCAACUCCGGAACUGCCUUUAAAACUGCAUCGCUUGAAUCCAGGAGAGGUGAGUGGAAUUCCGAGUGUAGAGGUGAAAUUCGUAGAUAUUCGGAAGAACACCAGUGGCGAAGGCGGCUCACUGGACUGGUAUUGACGCUGAGGUGCGAAAGCGUGGGGAGCAAACAGG
rnacentral:rRNA from 1 species